AGAUAAGGAGAUGUGGAAAUGUAAGUAUUGCAUUUUUGACUCUGCAAAAAGAGGGGAACUUCUCAAACAUUAUCGUUUGAAACAUGGUGGUCAUGCAAAAACUGUACCCUUUCCAUGCCUACACAAUGACUGUCUUUGUACGUUCAACUCCAUUAGUAGUUUAAAAGUUCAUCUGGCAAAAAUUCAUACAAAAAGACAAUUGGGACACGAUCAGGAAAUAGCACCACUUACAUUUACUUGUCAGCAUUGUGAAUUUUCUGAGCCCGUCCAAGAAGCAGAUUUUCUAAAGCACUUGCGUAGUAGACAUUUGAGUAAAAAUCAAAAGAUACAGUGUCCCUACAAACAUUGCAAGUUUCAAAGCAGUGUUUAUGCGACCUUUAAUGCCCAUAUAUGUAAGAAACAUAGUGAACAUAACUGGAGAAUGCUAAAGCCAGAAAUAGUUUCUGGCCAAAGUGACAAGAAUGAGAGUGAAGGACAAGAACAUAUUUAUUUUGAUGAGAUUGAAACAGAGGAUACUGAAGGUGACUCGGCUGAUUCUGUUGAUGUAACUCAUUCUGAUUUAGCAAAUCAGUUGGAACACAAUUUGGCUGGCCUUUUUUUAAAGAUGCAAAGCCUUCUUCAUAUUCCGGCAAGUUCUAUUCAAGAAAUCGUUCAGCAGUUGAAUCAGAUACAUGCAUUGUCUCUGCCACUGUUGAACAAAACUAUUUCAAGUGUCCUGAAGAGGUGUCUUCCAGAUGUUGAUGAGUCCCUUAUUGCAGAGGUGGUAAAUGCUGUUUCAGAAAGCAAUGUUUUUUCCAAAUGCUGUGACUCUGGUGGAUGCUUGUCAACAAUUAAAAGAAGAAACUCCUAUGUUUUAGCUGAGUUUCCUUUGGUUAUGCCAGUAGAAUACAUGAUUGAUAGGGAAACAAAACCUGUUGUAUAUGUACCAAUCCUACCUAUGCUACAGAAAAUGUUAAACAAGCCAGACAUUUUGGACAAAGCACUUUCAGUGCCAGAAUCUGAACCCAUUAUGUACAGUGCUUACAAUGAUGGUCACUACUUCAAAGACAAUAGCCUUCUCAACAGUGAAGAAUUUCGAAUAGCUCUAGGACUCUAUGUCGAUGACUUUGAGGUAGCCAAUCCGUUAGGGACAUCCAGAGGUAAACACAAAAUUUGUGCAGUUUACUGGGUGUUGGCGAACAUACCUGUAAAACAUAGGUCAAUGUUACGAUCCAUCCAACUUGGUCUUCUCUGUAAUGCUGGUACAGUAAAGGAGUAUGGCUAUGAAAAAGUCAUGCAACCACUUGUUAAGGACCUCGUUAAUUUGGAGCAGACUGGUUUAUUCAUUGAUCAGUUGGGAGCAACUGUGAAAGGGACUGUCCUAUAUGUUUCAGCUGAUAACCUUGGUGCUCAUUCUAUGGCAGGAUUCCUUGAGGGUUUUACUGCGGAGAGAUUCUGCCGUUUUUGCAUGGGAACAAGAACUGAGGUUCAGCACACAGAGGUAGGUUCCAGCAACUUUGAAACUCGCACUAAAGACACUCAUGACAGGCAUGUUAAGGAGGUAAAGCAGGAUCCUUCUUUGAGUAAGCUGUAUGGAGUGAGAGGAAGCUGUCCACUUACUGAUGCUUUGCAACAUUUUCAUGCUGUCACUGGCUACCCACCAGAUAUUUUACAUGACCUACUAGAGGGAAUUGUGCCAGCUGAACUCUGUCUCUGCCUUUCAGAGAUGAUUGAAAAGAAAUACAUCUCUCUCGAGUCAGUGAACCAUGCAAUUAAGAACUUUGCUUACACUUUCUCUGAUAAAACUAACAGACCUCAGCAAAUUCCAAAGGCUUUUGCCACCAAAGGAACAAUUGGUGGCAAUGGGCACGAAAAUUGGACCUUGCUUAGACUUCUUCCUCUUUUAAUUGGAGAUGAUGUCCCAGAAGGAGAUAAUUCAUGGGAAAUUUUGAUGCUUCUUAAAGAUAUAGUUGAAUUGGCUGUGGCAUCAAAACAUACAGAAGAGUCCAUUGAUUUCUUGAAGUGCAAAAUUACAGAACACAGAGAACUGCUGCAAUCAACAUUCCCUGGUUUUAGAUUGAAACCAAAGCAUCAUUUCAUUGAGCACUACCCCCGGCUGAUUAAAGCCUUUGGCCCACUGUCUGAUGUUUGGACAAUGCGUUUUGAGGGAAAGCACAAAUUUUUCAAAAAAGUAAUUCGGGAAUCUCAAAACUUCAAAAAUGUAGCCCUCACACUGGCUGUCCAACAUCAGAGAAUGAUGGCAUACUAUCUGGAUUCUAGCUCAUUUUUUAGACCGUCAAUUGAAAUGGACAAAGUCAAAACCGCACUGGUUACGUCAUUUCCUGAUCACAUUCAGCAGGCGUUCCAUCAAAUUACACCACAGCUAAAGACAGUGCUGAUUGCUUCCUCUGUGACAGCUUGUGGAAUUGAAUACUGUGCAGAUAUGGUCAUCUCUGCUGGGUCAUGCUCUGGUCUCCCAGAAUUCAAGAUGAUAUCACAGAUUGUAGCAGUGAACUCUGAGAUUCUGUUUCUCUGUAAACAAAUGUCAGCUUGGUACAUUGAGCAUAUUCGGUCAUUCGAACUUUGCAGCAGCCAUGUUACUUCCCUCUGUGUGAUUCAGAUGUCAGAGCUCAAUGAGGUUUUCCCUCUAUCAUGCUACACUGUAAAAGACAGGAUGGUGGUGACACCUAAACGUUAUAUCUUAUGCUAAGUGAAUGAUCCAAUGUUUUUCCUUUUCUCUCUUUUUUUUUCUCUAGUCUUUUGGUUGCAGUGAAGUUCUUAAAGUCCUGUGUGUUAUCAUCAAACUUCAUAUGGUAUUUAUGGACAUUUCAACUUAAAGGGUUAGUUCAUCCAGUAAUGAAAAUUCUGUCAUUACAGGGUUAGUACACCCAAAAAAUUAAUUUCAGUCAUUAAUUUCUCACCCUCAUGUCAUUUAAAACCUGUAAGUCCUUUGUUCAUCUUCUGAACACAAAUUAAGAUGUUUUUGAUGAAAUCUGAGGUGAUUUUCCCAUCUCCAUAGACAGCAAUGAAACUGACACUUUCAAGUCCCAGAAAGGUAGGAAAGACAUCAUUAAAAUAGUCCAUGUGUCUACAGUGGUUAAACCUUAAUUCUAUGAAGCUAUGAGUAUUUUUAUGUGCAUUUUUUUUAUAAAUUAAAAAUAAAGUCGUUAUUUUAUUAUUAUUUUUUUUUCCCACCUAAAAGUAUUCUCGUCGCCUCAUAAAAUUAAGAUAAAACCACUGUAGUCACGUGGACUACUUUAACGAUGUCUUUCCUACCUUUCUGGGACUUGAAAGUGUCCGCUGCGUUGGAGCAGGGAAAUCAUCUCUAAUUUCAUAAAAAAUAUCUUGAUUUGUGUUCUGAAGAUGAACGAAGGACCUACGGGUUUGUAACUACAAAAG
ensembl:lncRNA